GGCGCGGAAAUAGUCACCGUGAAACAGCUUGUGGAGAUGUUUGCAGCAGAACCACCAGAACAACCACUUUGUGUGUUGUGGGCAGUGAGCGGCCGCUGGAUUAUCAAGAGAUUUAAUAAAAAGAUCGUGCAAUGGUACAGAACAUCUGGUCUCUGAGACUUCAAAGCGCCACUCUCCCAAGAUUGUAAUUCCUGUGUGGUAUAGAAGUCACAGAGAAGUCUGAAGCAGCCAACUGAGAAUUGAGGUGGCAAAAUAACUAGGAACACUGAAUUCCAAAGGAUGACAAGGUCCUCCAAGGAGAGGAAGGCUACACAGAUCUGCAUUUGGUAGAGCACAAUAAAAGAGGAGGCAGCCCUAAAAUCAGGUACAGAUGUACUACUUGCAGUAGGAACAUUUUGCCCCUGCUACCUGUGGGUAUUUUCCUAGAACGUGUUGCUCCACCUCUGUUGCCAGCUCUAAUGCACAAGGUUCAGAGGAUCACAGAUGAAACCCAGAGAAUGCAGUAACAUUUGGAAGCCUAAGAACGGCAUUUCCAAGAAUCCCUCCCACCAUCAGAGUCCUGGUUAAACUCCACAAUAAAAGGCUUAAUUGCUUGACCAAUGGACUCUCGGCUUUUAUUUGCUGGGCUGCUCUGCAUAGCAUGUGGCUGUAUAGAAGAAUUGACUACUUGAUUGGACAGCCUAAAUUUUCACGCUCUUUUCAAGAGUAGAUCUCGCCAGGAGCACACUCUCCUUGAUAUGUAGCACAGACUCCAGACUAAUGUGCCUGAGGAAAAAUUAGAAGCCAUCCAGGGAUUCACCUAUUGGUAGCAGUAGCACUAAAAUCACGGAUGUGAGUAUACUGAACUAAAGAGAAGGAUAGUCUACGUUUUAUCUUACUCUGAGAUACCAUCUGGAUUCAAGCCUCUUGACCUCUCUGAAUUAUUCUGAAUGUUGCCAUAUUCUGCCAUGGACUUCAUACUUCUGAGAGGAGUCGAAGUUAAUGUAGAGUUAUUUCAUUCUUAGAAGAUUGAAUAAUUUAAUUGAGAUUGUUGCUUUAAUUUGAAAAGAACUUUGGAUUUUGGCAUGAAAAUAUUUACAAAUCAGGCAGGCUCACAGUCUACAAGUCCAUUGAUGAAACAAUUGUCAUCUAGCCUUUCAUGAGAAAGAACAUUGAAAUAAGUCCUUGCGGAACAGAUAAAGCUAUUUAACAAGUGAGGUAAUUACAUAUCAUCAUUCCACAUGCUGGAUGUUGUAAAUGAUUUAAAAACUUGUUUCUGCAUUUGCUUCCAAGGACUCAACCAAGCACAGAAGCUCCAUAUAUAUUUGCAACUGGGGCAAAUUUAUUCUAAUAGAUAUUUAUUCCAAGAACAGGAAUCUUUCUAUUUCAUAUUGCACAUGAAUAUUAAAUAAACUACCUGCU